AUUCCAGGCAAGAAUUGGCAAGUCUCUUCCACCGGCAGGAAAGAUUGAUUGGACAUUUUGAUUCAAACUUUUUUUUUUCGUCGAAGUUUGUAUAACGGAGUAUAGAAUUAUAACCGACUGUCAAUUGUAUUUGGCGUUUGUAUCAAUAGCCUUGUGAGGUCGGAUUCUGUGGGGGAAAACAGACUUACUAACAGCCAUUCGGUUAAAUGAAUGGAACGGUCGACUAAAGGAUAAAUGGACUACGUUAAUGUGAUAUUCAUGUUUUUUCAAAAGGAUAUACGGACCGUUAGGCGAGAGUAUAAUAUUUAAAUUUCAUCAAGUGCCAUAGAACUGAAUAU